rnacentral:rRNA from 1 species
UACGGAGGAUCCGUGCGUUAUCCGGAAUUAUUGGGUUUAAAGGGUGCGUAGGCGGCCAUUUAAGUCAGCGGUGAAAUUUUGCAGCUUAACUGUAACAGUGCCGUUGAUACUGUUUGGCUAGGAUUUGGUUGUAGUGUGCGGAAUGUGUGGUGUAGCGGUGAAAUGCUUAGAUAUCACACAGAACACCGAUUGCGAAGGCAGCACACUAAGUCAUUAUUGACGCUGAGGCACGAAAGUGUGGGGAUCAAACAGGAUUAGA